rnacentral:rRNA from 1 species
UACAGAGGUCCCAAGCGUUGUUCGGAUUCACUGGGCGUAAAGGGUGCGUAGGCGGUCGGGUAAGUCUGAUGUGAAAUCUCUGGGCUUAACCCAGAAAUGGCAUUGGAUACUAUUCGGCUUGAGGUCUGGAGGGGGGACUGGAAUUCCCGGUGUAGCAGUGAAAUGCGUAGAUAUCGAGAGGAACACCAGUGGCGAAGGCGAGUCUCUGGACAUUUCCUGACGCUGAGGCACGAAAGCCAGGGGAGCAAACGGG